CCUACGGGUGGCAGCAGUGGGGAAUAUUGGUCAAUGGGCGCAAGCCUGACCCAGCAACGCCGCGUGAAGGAAGAAGGCUUUCGGGUUGUAAACUUCUUUUCUUAGAGGCGAAGAAAGUGACGGUACCUCAUGAAUAAGCCACGGCUAACUACGUGCCAGCAGCCGCGGUAAUACGUAGGUGGCAAGCGUUAUCCGGAUUUAUUGGGUGUAAAGGGCGUGUAGGCGGGAAAGCAAGUCAGAUGUGAAAACUCAGGGCUCAACCCUGAGCCUGCAUUUGAAACUGUUUUUCUUGAGUUCUGGAGAGGCAAUCGGAAUUCCGGGUGUAGCGGUGAAAUGCGUAGAUAUACGGAGGAACACCAGUGGCGAAGGCGGAUUGCUGGACAGUAACUGACGCUGAGGCGCGAAAGUGUGGGGAGCAAACAGGAUUAGAUACCCGUGUAGUC
rnacentral:rRNA from 1 species